ensembl:ncRNA F54F2.11 ncRNA
GAGAAAAUGUUUGCUCUGCUGUGAAAAAAAGUUCAAGGCUAAUUUUUGAAUGUAAAAUAGUUCGUAUGCUUUGCAAACCUUCAAAUUAGAAA